UGCCACCACGCCCACCAGCCCACCCUUCCCCUCUUCUACAACCACAGCGAGCUCGCCGACGGCGGCGUGUCCCUAGACAUCUUGGCCUCCGACCACCGCGCAGCAGGGGCCGCCGACCGGUUCCAGACCGUCGCGCGGCUGAAAACGGCUCCCCCAGCGCUCGCCUGCGACACUUCCCCCUUCUAUCUGGAGGCCUCCUGCGACGGCCUCCUCCUCCUCAGCACCGAUCUUGAUUUUUGCCAUCUGCAACCCGGCAACUCGACAGUAUGCUCCCCUCCACCAGCUCGAUGGCUUGUGUCCCCAUGGGAUGUACCCUACCGCCGGCGGCGGCGAGUACCGACUGUUGCUGUGCCGGUUUGAUGAUGGAGAUCCACUUGCCAUGGAGUACUACGUUUUCACAAUAGGCUCUGCCCAGCCGCCCAGGCGCAUACCUUCUCCCAUAGGGUGCCCUGAACCGCCAGAUCGCCCCGGAUUGCUAUUCAAAGGCAGCCUAUACUGGCACACAGGCAGUGAAAUAGUGGUAUUCGACACCACCAAUGAGUCCUUCAGGCACAUCAGAUCCCCGUAUUUUCCGGGUUGUAUUGCUCAACUGUUUGAGACUGGUGGCAUGCUUGGCAUCUUCAUUUAUGAUGAUCAAAAGACAUCUAUGUAUAUCUUUGCGUUGCAGAAUCAACAAAGCGAGCGAUGGAAUUUCAAGUCUUAUGUUACAUUACCGGUUGCGGAGACCAGGCAGCAUUGUCAGUGUCCCGACCAUCGAGAGAGUGUGACGGUUGUGCCUCGGGACGGUGGGUUGCUCAUUCUGCUCAAGUGUGCUGCCUGGCUGUUUCAAGUUGAUGGCGAUGGCGGGGUUAUUGUCCAUGGCAAGUUGAUUGCAAGUUUCCGUUACUCAGACAUCAUCAUGUCUGGCCAUUAUUUGCUCAAGCAAACUCUUGUUCAGCAUACCUUCUUUCCAACACUAGAGGGUUAUGUUGCCAACGCUCUACCUUUCAUCUGACCUGACCGGCGAUUGUGUUGUCGGUACUAAGAGGGCUGUUGGGUGUGGUCCUGUUUCUUACAGCAGUAUGUAUUAACUAGAUCCCUGGUUAUAUAUGUUGUCAACAACUCAGCCUUUCAUCUGAGACCUGUCGACCGUGGCAGUGUUUCCUGUCGGCCUAGCUCUCCGUAUCCACAUGAGCUACAUCAUGUAUUAACUAGAUCCUUGGUAUUAUGUUGCGAACACUUAGCCUUCUAUCUUAGAAGAGGUGUCGGGUGGGGUGGUGUUUUUUAUCGGCCUAGCUCUCCGUAUCCACAUGAGCUGUAAUAUGUAUUAACUAGAUCCACUAUUAAGCUUCUUUGUUGAUGUAUAACAAAACGUAUGCUCAACAAGUUGUGACUGUUAGAUGUAUGUUUUGUGCUAUAUUUCAUUGAACAUCAUUUUGUGUUGGAGUGGCUGCCAUGAGUGUUGAUGCGAAAGAUACAAGUCAUUUGGGUCAGCAUUUCAAAUGUUUGCCAAUUGAUCUGAUCUGACUCAUGUUUAUGUUUUCUUGAACUCAAUAUUGGAUUAUUUCCCCACUUCAUAUCGUGGUUCUCUUGUUACUCGAUGGUUCUGUUUAUUGACUUGAAGAUUUUACUUUAUCGAGGUCUUUUAUGUAGAGAUUGCCUGGUGGUCUUCUUAAUACCGACAUUUUGCAAAUAUACAUGUAUUUCCUGUUUAUAUGUUGUAUUUUAAGCUAACGAUGAAGUGAUGCUAAUUAUCCCCCUUAUUGACUAAGCAAGUUGCAGAUGAUUUUCUUACAAGAGCUAUCUGUUUCUAAGCAACUUAAAUAUUCGCUAUAGUCCGUCUUUGCUGCUGCAUUGUUUCCGACUAUCUCUGUCAAAGUCAGUCUUAGAUCCCAGAUUGUGUUCCCCUUGACACUCUUCAGACUGUCUUAACUGUCAGACAUAUCCUUUUUUUCUCUGUAACCGGUGGAAGGACAUAUCAAGAAAAACUCGUGUUAUAUGUCAUUCCAUCAGGUUGCUCAGCUUCUGACAUCACUUGUAGGAUACUCACAGUUAACUCUCUGUUACUUGCAUUCCCCUUUUGGGGGUGUGUGAUAAAUAUACCUACUGGAGACAAAAUAUAUAAGUGUGUGUGGUUACAGUUUAUCCUAUAGAUUCAGUAUGCAAGUUUAGCAAUCGUCAUACCAGUUCUUGAUAAUUGAUAACACAAAAAACUAGUCAAAUUUUGGUGCAACUUCACGAUAUGAUUUGGGUAUGAACCCGUAGAGAUACAAUGUGUGUUCAUGGUAUUAUUUUGCUUAUUGGGACCUAAUGUAUGCUAUAAAUUGGCAGUAUGAAUGCCUGGAAUUCAGAUAAUCAAAUCUUGGUGUCAUGCCUCACUCUUGGGUAAGACCAGAUAUCUGUUAUCUCGUAUCUCAGUUUUAGUAUGUUGGGUACUUUUAACUCAGAUCUGAAUCUUAGUUAAUUCAGAUAAUAUAUUCUUGGUGUCAUGCCUCAUCAAUUCUGAAUGAUACUAAUAGAUUAUCCAAAUUGACCGGGAAAGCUGCAGAUUUGGCUGGUUCAUCC
rnacentral:lncRNA from 1 species